UGCAGCUGCCUUUUGAAUUUAUUUUGAAAUGAGCACAUACUUUUAUUUUGACAUGCCGAAAACAGGAAGGGGCGGUUGUUAGCUUCGGUAAGCUCUAGAAGAAAAGCGCAAAGACCAAGCGCACAUGUAGCAGUGAUACCUGUCUAGUUUCAUUUUUUAUUUUUUAUCCAUGAUUCGUGGUGUUUACUACAACUGUGUAUAAGCUGAAGGAUACAUUUUUUGACUGAAGAUUGCUUCUGGAAAAGUACUCUGCCGUUGGUUGAUAAGCAGGCUAAAGUGUUCUACGGUGUUAAUAAACAUCUGUUAACGGAA